rnacentral:rRNA from 1 species
UCCAGACUCCUACGGGAGGCAGCAGUGGGGGAUAUUGCACAAUGGGGGGAAACCCUGAUGCAGCGACGCCGCGUGUGGGAAGACGGUCCUCUGGAUUGUAAACCACUGUCCCCAGGGACGAAGAUGACGGUACCUGGGGAGGAAGCUCCGACUAACUACGUGCCAGCAGCCGCGGUAAUACGUAGGGAGCGAGCGUUGUCCGGAUUUACUGGGUGUAAAGGGCGUGCAGCCGGGAGUGCAAGUCAGAUGUGAAAUCCCGCGGCUCAACCGCGGAACUGCAUUUGAAACUGUGCUUCUUGAGUGCUGGAGAGGCAGACGGAAUUCCUAGUGUAGCGGUGAAAUGCGUAGAUAUUAGGAGGAACACCAGUGGCGAAGGCGGUCUGCUGGACAGUAACUGACGGUGAGGCGCGAAAGCGUGGGGAGCAAACAGGAUUAGAUACCCUGGUA